UUGUUAAGAAAAUAGAAGGGAAACUCCAAAAUUUGAGAAAAUAGAUAAAUCUGUUGCAUCUAAGGGCGGGAAGAAGUCAACAAGGGAGAGUGCUUUAUCAUGUGUGAGAAAGAUUGAAGCAGCCCUUAUAUUUGGUUACCCGGUUUUUAAGCGUCAUUCGUCGAAGCCGGAGCAACAAUCUACCGGGUCACGGAGAUUUUGGUGAAACUUUUUCCUCUUCUCCUUUUUCUCCCUUCCCAUUUUACUUUCACAUUGUUUCCUGAGAAUAGAAUUGAUGCUUAGAAAGAAAGUGUGAAAAGAAAACAGGAAUAGCAUUUGCAAUUCGUCUUUGCAGCAUUUACAUGUUACUAUAGCUAUUCUGAAGUACGCUUAGUAAUAUUCAAAAUGACAUAUUUUUCUAGUUUCCAUUGCAUUUACUUGCUCAAACUCUAUGUUGGAAUUUUAUUUAUAUGAUCGCUGCACAAAGGAACAAGCAAAGUAGUAUACUACCAGUCAUGAACUGUAAAUUCAAGAACUGUUAAUUAUUCUUGAAUUUGUUAACUUAAUCAGCUUUUUAUCUAACUUUUUAUGCAUUCAUAAUGACAUAAGAUAUUUGUUUAUCGUUUGUUCUAUCUGUUUGUGCAAUCAACUUCAUGAUUUCUCUUUAAUGUUCCAUUUUAAUUCUUUUUGGACACAUAAUAAGAUCCAGAUGUUGUCUUUGUCAGUUCAGAUUGAGAUAAACAAGACUUACAACAAAAGGAAAAAUCUUUCUCCCACUUACAAAGCAAAAUAUUUCUCUCUUUUCCCACAGUCGCUCAAGGUAAAUCUGCUCUUUCAUAUUUUUAGUUUUUGAAGUUCUUAUUCAUGUUUGAUUGGUGUUUCAUAUAUUUAUGUGUUCUACUAUUGUUCCGACCAAAUUUAAUAUUUCCGGCCUCAAUCUAAAGUGAGAACCAAAAUUUGUUGCUUGAUUUUAGUUAAUUGUACCAAACAAAUUUGCAUGUUUUGGUGAUUUUGUUGCCCGUUUGGUGAGAUUUAUUAAUCUUGAAUGUGAUCAGUAAAGAAAAAGGUUGAUGACUGCGGGCAAUGACCUUCAUGAAUUUUCGUUUGCCAGCAAAAGUCUUUGUAAGGAAUUAUCAGCGGCCACCUCAUUGAAUGCUUCGAGUGAAGGGACAUCCCAAAACAAAAACGUACUAAAGAAGACCUAAGAAAAGCUUAUUUCUUUCUCCAUGAUCAGGUCCGCUACAAGAUUCGGUUUCAUUUUCCCUCUGUUACUGAUCUUCUUACUUUUCCAUGAUUGGAUUAUGACGGAAAGUUUGAAAUUUUAUGUGUUAGAAGGUAAGAUUUGAGAUCAAUUGGUCGAUUUUCUAUUAAUUUAAUGUGAACAUUCUAUUUUCAUUCAGAUAUGGAAUUUUUAGUUUUUGUUCCAGAUCUUUUGAAGAUUUCCAAGUGAUGUUUUUCACUUGAGGUUUGAAAUUUUUUAUUCUGGGAUUUGGUGAAGAAAAUUAUCAUUUGGGUAGAAUUUUGUUGGGUUAAUUUUCUGGAAAAUGGUGAUCAAUUUGAUUCAAAUUCGAAGAAAAUUUUGCUUUGAUCCGAGAAAUCCUUGAGAAUAUCCUUACAUUGCUAUGGAUGCGGAGUUGUUAACUACUCAAUGACUAAUCACCCUCUAUGUUCACGUCCCUCCAAGUCUAAUCGUCCCUUCCAAGACAUUCCUUCUAACUUCUCUUUCUCCAAAGGUAGAAAGGAAAGGUCGUAAACUCUCUUUCGAGAGCCAUCCAUUCUCCAACUCUGAAAUUCAGUUGCACAGUAUCUUCUGUGUGGUAGGAUGUUUUAAGUUGUUGUGUCAUUUCUUGUAUUGAUGUUCCUGAUUUAGUUCGCAUUGUUUUCUUUAAAUCAAAGAUGGACCUACGUGGUAAGCUGCGGUUGAUAAGCUUUUUUAGUCUAACAAGUAUGCUCUAUCUGUUUGUUGCAAGACUAAUGCUACUGGAAUUCCGAGUUAUCUUCUACAAUCUUCCUCUGUUGUUACUCUAUCCUAUGUUGUUUAUAUACAGAGCAGUAAACUGAAUACUUGAUAAGCAUUUUGUAUGAAUUAUGUUACUUAUUGUCAUUUUGUUGUCAGUUCUGGUGGCAUUAUCUGCCAAGAAAAAUUAGGAAGUAGUUGUUGAGUGUUGCACUAUUUUGUGGAUAGUGUAACAAAAUACCCAUAAAUCAUAAGGACCACUGUAUCAUUUUCUUCUUUAGACUAUCAGUGUUUGAGUUAUUUGAGCAAUUUAUUGGUAUUAAUUAUUCAUAAGUCUCCAAAUUUAUUGGUUGAGGAUCUUAACAAGGGAAAAUUGGACUGCUGUUAUUACCUCAUUGCAGCACUAGAGAUUCUGAAUUUGGAAUAUUAUCUUGCAUGUAAGAAAGUAACAGUGAAGAGGAACUACAUCACAAUUGGUUCCCAACUUAAUCGUGGAAAAAAAAUACGAUAUGCUUAUUUUGACGCCUAUGAAAUGUUUGAAAAGAUGCCCUAGGUAGAUGAUGGUGGUUCUUUCAAUGUCAUACUAGCUAUUCGGACAUCCAUUUGUAGAUUAAAUUUUACAGGUAAGAUAUUGACAUGACAAAAUGCAUUUACUGUGGAUUCUGCCAAGAAGCCUGCCCUGUUGAUGCAAUUGUUGAAGGGCCAAACUUUGAAUUUGCAACCGAAACUCAUAAGGAACUUCUUUACGACAAGGAGAAGCUUCUUGAGAAUGGUGAUCGGUAUGGAACACUGAGAUUGCAGAGAAUUUGUGAUCUGAAAACCUCUACCCCUGUGUACUUUUGGUUAAUUUUGAGUAGAGAAUCUUGAGAUACAAUGAAACUUUCUAGCUUCAAUAGAAUACAGGGAUCUGUUGAAGGUUGUUCUCUUUUUGUUUCUUUCCGUUGCCUUUCUAUUAUUAAGAUUAAGAUGACUCUAUUUGAUAUAGUAACAGAUUGGUGAAAAACUGAAAAUAUGGAGCAGCAUCUUAUUAUA